rnacentral:rRNA from 1 species
GACGAACGCUGGCGGCGUGCUUAAAAACAUGCAAGUCGAACGGACUUCUCAUGAAGCUUGCGAUUGAGAAGUUAGUGGCGGACGGGUGAGUAACGCGUGGGCAACCUGCCCCUGAGCCCGGGAUAACAGUUCGAAAGGACUGCUAAGACCGGAUAUACUUGCGGGGAAGCAUUUCACUGCAAGGAAAGGGAACGCUCAGGGAUGGGCCCGCGUCCCAUUAGCUAGUUGGUGAGGUAACAGCCCACCAAGGCGACGAUGGGUAGCCGGCCUGAGAGGGUGAACGGCCACACUGGGACUGAGACACGGCCCAGACUCCUACGGGAGGCAGCAGUUGGGAAUCUUCGGCAAUGGGCGCAAGCCUGACCGAGCAACGCCGCGUGAGUGAUGAAGGUUUUCGGAUUGUAAAGCUCUGUCUUCCGGGACGAUAAUGACGGUACCGGAGGAGGAAGCCACGGCUAACUACGUG